UACGUAGGUUGCGAGCGUUGUCCGGAAUUACUGGGUGUAAAGGGCGUGUAGGCGGUUUUGCAAGUCAGAUGUGAAAUUCUUGAGCUUAACUCAAGAGCUGCAUCUGAAACUGUGAUUCUUGAGUACUGGAGAGGAUAGUGGAAUUCCUAGUGUAGCGGUGAAAUGCGUAGAUAUUAGGAGGAACACCAGUGGCGAAGGCGGCUAUCUGGACAGUAACUGACGCUGAGGCGCGAAAGCGUGGGGAGCAAACAGG
rnacentral:rRNA from 1 species